rnacentral:rRNA from 1 species
AUGACUAAAUCUCUUCUUAAUUCUCUUGGUGUGAUGAGAGAUGAUAUGGGAGAACUGAUGUGGAUGGUAAGAGAGUUCUACAAGAAUCUCUAUACAUCUGAGGGGGUGCACAAUGUGGACGCGGUGCUACAACAUGUCCCACAAAAGGUCACACCAGUGAUGAAUGAAGUUUUGUGCCUUCCAUAUUCAGCCGAGGAGGUUAAAACCGCUCUGUUUCCGAUGUUUCCUACCAAGUCCCUAGGGCUGGAUGUAUUUCCCGCACAUCUUUGUCAAAGGAAUUGGGCCUUGUGCGGGGAGGAGAUUACUUGGUACUGCGGAUUGUGA